GGAGGCAUGGCGAAAUGGUUGAACGCAUCGGCCUUUGAAGCCGACAUGUGUGAGUUCGAAUCUCACUGCCUCUG
rnacentral:tRNA from 1 species